CGUACACUCCUGCGGGAGGCAGCAGUGGGGAAUAUUGCACAAUGGGCGCAAGCCUGAUGCAGCGACGCCGCGUGGGGGAUGAAGGCCUUCGGGUUGUAAACUCCUUUCGCUAGGGACGAAGCUUUUUUGUGACGGUACCUAGAUAAGAAGCACCGGCUAACUACGUGCCAGCAGCCGCGGUAAUACGUAGGGUGCGAGCGUUGUCCGGAAUUACUGGGCGUAAAGGGCUCGUAGGUGGUUUGUCGCGUCGUCUGUGAAAUUCUGGGGCUUAACUCCGGGCGUGCAGGCGAUACGGGCAUAACUUGAGUGCUGUAGGGGUAACUGGAAUUCCUGGUGUAGCGGUGAAAUGCGCAGAUAUCAGGAGGAACACCGAUGGCGAAGGCAGGUUACUGGGCAGUUACUGACGCUGAGGAGCGAAAGCAUGGGUAGCGAACAGGAUUAGAAACCCCGGUAGUCCCA
rnacentral:rRNA from 1 species